AUUGAACGCUGGCGGCAUGCCUUACACAUGCAAGUCGAACGGCAGCACGGGGGCAACCCUGGUGGCGAGUGGCGAACGGGUGAGUAAUAUAUCGGAACGUGCCCUAGAGUGGGGGAUAACGUAGCGAAAGUUACGCUAAUACCGCAUACGAUCUAUGGAUGAAAGUGGGGGAUCGCAAGACCUCAUGCUCCUGGAGCGGUCGAUAUCUGAUUAGCUAGUUGGUAGGGUAAAAGCCUACCAAGGCGACGAUCAGUAGCUGGUUUGAGAGAACGACCAGCCACACUGGGACUGAGACACGGCCCAGACUCCUACGGGAGGCAGCAGUGGGGAAUUUUGGACAAUGGGGGCAACCCUGAUCCAGUAAUGCCGCGUGUGUGAAGAAGGCCUUCGGGUUGUAAAGCACUUUUGGCGGGAACGAAACGGUUCGGGCUAAUAUCCUGGACUAAUGACGGUACCCGCAGAAUAAGCACCGGCUAACUACGUGCCAGCCGCCGCCGUAA
rnacentral:rRNA from 1 species